GGGAAGUUGACUCAGUGGUAGAGUGUUUGCCUUGCAUGCAAAAAGCCCUGGGUUAGAUUCCCCA
rnacentral:tRNA from 1 species